rnacentral:lncRNA from 1 species
AUGUCGCCCAGACUGGCCUUGAACCUGUGGCAAUCCUCCUGCCUCACUCUGCCUCCUGAGUGCUGGGCUCACAGGCCUGUGCCACCUUGCCCAGCUAGGACAGUCUCGCAGAGGCUUCUCCUCUCCAAGUGGGCUCGUCCAAGUUGCGAGGAAGACACCUGGCUAUGGAGGGUCCUGGUGAUGUGCCACGAGGUGGAAAUGACUCCCUUCAACACUCAGGGUGUAAGGAUUCCUGGUGGGCAGUGCCUCUACCAGCAGGGAACACAUUGCCCCCUGAGAAGUGACAUUUGUCACUGCUGCUCACAUGUCACGGCCGAAGCCAGUCACAGGCCACACCUAAUGGAAAAGAAAAUGCAGCCCCACUGCAUCCCCAGGAGGAGGAGACAGAAUACUCCAGAAGGCUCUCAUGGCACUGACACUGACCUCACCCUGCCCUGGCCACGGCUUGUUUCCAGAUGACGCUUCUCUGUGGUGACCCCAGCUCCAGCUGUGCCUCCUCCCUCAAUCUCCGUGUUCCUAACCGUGCCCCUCCUGUGAGGCUAUCCUCAGAGACCUUGAGGCCUGGUGUUUCCUUCUGAGGAUGUGGACCUACGUCUGGUCUUCUCACGGGGUCUCUGGGGGGUCACGUGGGGUCUGCCUGGGCUGUGUUGUGGUCUGUACCAGG